UUUCAACGGCAUGCGCUCCGCAUAGAUAACAUCAACAAUCCAAAGUAUGAAAACAUCUAAUGAUUAAAUAUAAAUACAGUACACCAAAAAUACUUCAGUGUUGCAUUUUUUCUAUUGAAUUGCUGUGGUGCUGAAUUUGGGACAACGGAGCUCUGAAACAACAGAGAAUAAAACAAAUGCGUGGUCUUGCACCAACACCUCCGCGUCGCGUCCUUCCUCGUUUAGCGCCUUCAGCGAAUUCGAAAAUAAAACACGGAUUUUUUUUCGCCCAGGUCUCGCGCGUCUCAGCCGGGUCUUUAGGCCGCUCGGAGGCCCCGCGCUAAGACAGGCGCCCCGAGCCGAGCUGCAGCGCGCAGAGCAAGGCGAGGAGACGCCGGGGCGGCCGGCAGGACCUGCAGAAAUCUCAGGCUGUCCGAUUCUGCACUUCUCAAUCCCCUCCUGGCGGGAGUCUGAGCAGGGGAUCCACAGAGGAGGCCGCUGGGAU
rnacentral:lncRNA from 1 species